GCCGGUGUAGCUCAAUGGGCAGAGCAGCGGUUUUGUAAACCGCGGGUUGUGGGUUCGAGUCCCACCAUCGGCUCUA
rnacentral:tRNA from 1 species